rnacentral:rRNA from 1 species
UACGGAGGGUGCAAGCGUUAUCCGGAUUCACUGGGUUUAAAGGGUGCGUAGGCGGGUUGGUAAGUCCGUGGUGAAAUCUCCGAGCUUAACUCGGAAACUGCCGUGGAUACUAUCAAUCUUGAAUAUCGUGGAGGUAAGCGGAAUAUGUCAUGUAGCGGUGAAAUGCUUAGAUAUGACAUAGAAUACCAAUUGCGUAGGCAGCUUACUACACGAUCAUUGACGCUGAGGCACGAAAGCGUGGGGAGCAAACAGG